rnacentral:lncRNA from 10 species
CUUUGAUACCAACUGGGUGUCCAAUAAUUCAAUUCAACUCUGACACCAAUUACCUGGAGUCAGUGCAGACCCCACAAGUUAUGGGUUCAGUUGCAUAACAAUGCCUCCACUUCACAUGUUAGCCGGAUAUGGGGCUCCAAGCUAACUGAACCUCUGCUCAAUCAACUACAAAUUUGGGGAUUCCCAUGACCCUCCCUGUAUUAGUUCAUUUCCACGCUGCUGAUAAAGACAUAUCAUGCUGAUAAAGAACAGCAUGGAAAAGAACUGAGCCCCUGAUUCAAUUACCUCCCACCACGUUCCUCCCACAACACAUGGCAAUUCAAGAUGAGAUUUGGGUGGGGACACAGCCAAACCAUAUCACUCCCCACCCUCCACCAGGUUUGAUAAUUCGCUAGAAAGACUCACAGGACACAGGAAAGCACUAUACUUACCACUGCAGUUUUAUUAUAAAGAAUACGAUUCAGAAACAGCCAAAUGGAAGAGAUGCAUAGAGCUAGCAAGGGAGUGGAAGGUGGACAGAAAGCCCAUGCCCUCUCUGGGCAUCCACCCACCCAGCACAUCAAUAUGUUCACAAACUCAGAACAUCCCUAAACGUUGUUGUUCAAGAGAUUUUACUGAAAUUUCAUUAUGUAGGUGUGAUUGGCCAUUGGUGAUUGAACUCAAUCUCCAGACCCUCUUCCCCUCUCCACAGUUAGGGGUUAGGGGAUGGGGCUGAAAGUCGCCUGGUGAUCAGCUCUAUUCUGAAGCUCUCUAGAGGUUAAGAAUUCUCUCAUUAGCAUGUGGUCAGGUAUGAUUCAAAGAGGCAUGUUAUGAAUUACAAAAGAGUCCUAUUAGGAAAUUCUAAAGGUUUAGAAACCCUUGUUCCCCGCGUAACUACUCCACCCAAGGCAAGUCUCAAGCUGUCCAACUUGAUGUCACUGAGUUCACCUGGAACCCAGAUGAAAUAUCAGGAGGAAAGGGAAGGGAGGAUCUGUAAUUGAAAAUAAAAGAGUGAAUUAUGAAAACUGAUUAAGCCAAACCCAUCGUAUUCAUAUAUUCAUGUGUAAUAUUUAAGAAACCACUGCCUAAUCCAAGGUCAUGAAGAUUAACAUCUAUGUUAUUAAAAUGAAGUUCUGAAGAAGCUGGAUUUAUGUGGCUAUGGUAAAUGUAUCUUUAAAAACUCUUGAAGGAAAAAGCAAUAAAAUCUACACUAAAUUAUUGAAGAAGUCAAAAUAACAAAUGCACUUAUGGAUAAUGUUAAAAGUCUCAAAAAUGUACUAGCUUCAUUGCAGUCUGAAAAAUCCAGUUUGAAAGUGAGAUUUCAGAGCUUCAGCAGAAACUUAGUCAUUACUAAACUGCAUCAAUAAAAUAAAAUGAUUAUGCAAGAUUCAAUUUAAAGUGAUUUACUAUGGAAAGAGAAGAAUCUUUCCAAAGCAGAUGAAAAAAUCAGUCAUGCAUCUGAAGUGCUAGACAUCUUCAGAAUCCUAGCCAAAAUUCUCUCUCUCUCUGUCUCUCUCUCUCUCUCUUUUUUAGCAGGGCCUCUCUCUCUCUGUUGCUUAGGCUGGAGUGCAGUGGCAUGAUCACAGCUCACUGCAGCCUCAACCUCCUGGGCUCAAAUGAUCCUCCCACCUUAGCCUCCCAAGUAGCUGGGACCACAAGCAUGCACCACUAUAUGUAGCUAAUAUUCUUUUAAAUUAUUUUUUGUGGAGACAGGGUCUCCCUGUGUUGCCCAGGCUGGUCUCAAAUUUCUGGCCUCAAGAGAUCCUCCUGUCUUGGCAUCCCAAAGUGUUGGGAUUAUAGGUGUGAGCUACCACACCCAGCCCAAAUUAAAAUUCUUCUAGAAAAAUUAGAAAAAGCCAUUGGAUCCUAUCAAUUAUCAUGAGGAAAAAAAAGCUCUUGAUAGUUGGUUGAGAGCUCUAUUGGCUGAGAAAAACUUUGAUAACUCAAGAAAAUAAAAUCCACAACUCAGGGAAAUAAUGAUUUAGGAAGAACUUAAGUUUCAGCUUUUUAAAAAGUAUCUCUAUGUCCCUGAUAUUCCAAAAGGAAAAUUUGGCAGAUGCAUGGGAGAUACUAGGAUCCCCUGAUACCAAGACAGCGGAGCAUUAGGUUGGGAUGGCUCAGGGUUCCAGGAUCUGUGCCUAGUGUGGACCAGAUUCCUCCAUCAGGCCAACUCCAUCAGGACACAUAAAUUCCUCCACAACAACAGGGAGAGUUUCUCCUGGUGCUCCUUUGCUGCCUUCUUUCAAUGAUAUUCAAUGCUCAAGAUCUUCUUUUGAUGAUGUUGAGAGACAUGCACCUUCAGAAGUGGAGACCAAUAGGAAAGACAAUGCACAUGAUCUUGGUCAUUUAAUUACACCAGACUCAACCCUUCCAUCUGGACAAGAAGCAGCUGCCCAGGCUCUGUUCUUCUACCUCAUCCUCCUGUCAGAUGGCACAGAUGUGUCCCAGGGGAAUGUUCCUGAGAAGCAAACCUUCUGUCAUGCUCUCUUCUCUGGAAAGCCAUCAUGGACCUCCUCAAGGAUUCUUUCCUUGGGGAUGGCCACGGCCCAGCACAUCCUUCUCUGGCCACAAGAAACAUGUCUUCACAAGUGCUGGAUUUUGUCUUCUGUUCACACAACUUGAAAACAGAAGCAAUGCACCUUCAGAAUUGAUCCUGCCUCCCAAGAAGCCUACUUCCAAAGAUCAGAAUCAUAAAAUGCAUUUUUGCUGUCUUCGUAAGCAAUUUUGAUAUUUUGUCAGUUUCAUUGCUAUUAAGUGAUCAUUCCUUGCUUCAAAUGAAAGCUAGAGAGAAUUACAAUUCUUAUGAUACUGUUUUAUAACUGUAGAUUACCUAUAUGUGAAUUUUUAAGCAAAUUGUUUCCAUUUUAUUCUAUUUGUAUGUAAUUAUACUAUUUUUGUUGUUAAGUCCACUAAAAUAAUUCAGAAACACAGCAAAAACUUUGUCUUCUAAGAUAUUUUUGAAUAUUUUCUCUUUUAGUUUUAUUGCUCUUAAGUGAUUAUAUAAGUACUCAAAUGGGAACAUGAUAGAAUUAUAAUUCUCAGGAGAGUGUUUUACAAACACACAUCAUAUAAAUGGAAGUUUUGUUAGUAAAUUGCCUCCAUUUUAUUUGAUUUCUGCAUAAAGUACAUUCUUUUCAACAUUGCUAUUUAACAAGUCUCUUCUGUUAGUCCAGAAAAAUGGCAAUAGUUUUAUCUUCUAAAGUAUUUUUCAAUUUCUCUUCUUUAGUUUCUCUGUAGUAGUUAUGGGAUUACACAAUUGCUCAAAUGGAAGCUCAAUAGAACUAUCAUUUUUAAGAUAGUAUUUAUGAAUUUAUUUUUAAGUGAAUUUUAUUUUCUUCAAUCUCUAGAUAACAUGAAGACAGCAUUUCAAUUGCUGAUGUUUAACAAGUCCCCAGUAACUCCAACUGUAGUUGUAGUAAGAGCAGUUGUGUAAACACAUGGAGACAUUUGAAAUUCAGUUUAUUUCUGUAUAGCUGGGGCUGAAUUUACUCUAAAUAAUUAAUAUAUUUAUCUAAACAAAUGUCAGUUUAAAAAGAGCUGUCUUAAAAUAAUUUCCUCUCCUGGGUGACUUAAAAGAGGCAAUCUAGGAGAAAACUACAUUCUUUUCUUCUGUCAACCAUGCUAUGGAUCCUUAGGGACCUGGGUUUUCUUUUAGGGAAUCAAAAUCUUACACCUAUUAAAGGCAAAACAUGGCUGGGCAUGGUGGCUCACGCCCGUAAUCCCAGCACUUUGGGAGGCCAAGGUGGAAAGAUUGCUUGAGCUCAGGAUUUCAAGACCACCCUGGGCAACAAAGUGAGACCCUGUCUCUACAAAAAACCCAAAAUAUUAGCUGAGUGUAGUGGUGCAUGCCUGUGAUCCCAUCUACUCAGGAGGCUGAGGAAGGAGGAUAGCUUGAGCCCCGAAUGUCGAGGCUGCAGUGAGCUAUAAUUUUGCCACCGCACUCCAGCCUAUGGGAACAGAGCAAGACCCUGUAUCAAAUUACAAAAAAAAAAAAAAAAGGCAAAACAUACCUUUAAAAUAAAGGGGGGAAAAUCUACCUAUAAUCUACUUUAAGUCUUCUGUGAAGUAGUAUUGCACACUGAUAGCUAAGAUUGAGAUUUCACUGUGGAGGGCAAUAGAAAAAAGCAGGUAACAAUUUUUUUUCACAUUCACGGUCUGUUUCUAACAUAUACAUGCCUUCUUUUGAGGGAUCUUUGUCUUAAUGUUAGCAACUACUACAGUUUGUGUCCCUGCAGGUGCCCAAGAAAUGUUGAGUGAAUUAAAUUUCAUUUUGAACCCAGAGAUACUAAUUAAACUGAUUUUAAGUGAUGUUUUAAAGAUGAAAAAGGGCCAAUGACUAUAUAUUUCUCCACAAACGAUG